GCCCGAGUCGUCGCCGCCGAAUCCCGCCGGGACUCUGUUGCCAACGACGGCCGUGCCGACGACUUGUUCCGGGACGACCGCCGCCGUCGAUUAUGAAGAAACACAAACGCGAACACUUGGAUUGCGGCUGACGUUAACUACUUUACUGCAGUUUCGGGGGACACGCGCACUCGCCACACACACACACACUCGACCACAAAUACACACGUACACACACCCGACACACACACACACACACACGUAUACCCGACACACAGACGUAAACACCCGAUACACACACAGACACAAACACCCCGACACCCGAAUAAUAAAAAAGAAAAAAAAACCGCGUACACAAUAUAAAUUAUACAAACCCGCGCGCCGUCCGAGUCGGUGUGUGUAACAAUAUAU